UCUGCCUGCCUCUGCCUCUGCUGGGAUUAAAGGCUUGCAACACCAACGCCCAGCUGUCAGUCUAGUUUUUAUGUUAGCCUUUAUUGUCUGACUGAGGUAGUGUCUGCUGGAUUUUUCAACUGCGAAGUUACUACUUUUUCCAAUCUGCUGUAGUCAUUAUAAGUGAAUGACCAUGCACAGUUCAGACAUAAGUAGACAGUUAUGAUUCAUGUUCCAAACGUUAGACAGGCUAUAUAAAUGAUUUCAGAUUUCUGUACUGAAGUGUGUCUGGUAUCUCCAUUAUUUCUUUAAUCAGGCAUCUCUUUAUAUUAGCAUGGAUUCAUGAAGAUGUAUUUGUAUUUUGAGUUAGAACCCUAUGUGUUUAAGCAUUUCUUACCUUUCUCAACUUGGUCCAGCUUUGGCUCCUGGGAAGGUUGUCAUUUGUUUCUUUUGUCUUAUUGUUAUGCCUAUGUUCAUAUUUGGUGUUUAUUUUUCUGGUUUGUGGCAUACUGCUAGCCAAAAUCUGAGUAUUAUGUACUCUGUGAUGUAUUUUAAGCUAAAGGAAAAAGGAGAGAUAUGUCUAUCGUUUUUUAGCAUACUCUAAAAUGGAGGUCAGCAAAUAUUUCCUGUAAAGUGCCAAAUGCUCAUUAUCAUACAUUGUGUAGCCUUAGGUUUCUGUCUCUAUAACUAAGCAACUUCAGAAGUAGAUGAAGCAGCCAGAGUUAGAAGGUAAACAAAUGGAUGGAUGCUGCUAUGUUACAAUAUUUACAACUUUCCUUAUGAAUUAUUUGUGUGUACAUGGGGGGAACUAAAAGAACAAAAGAUGAAGAUAAGGAUGAGAGAGGAGGGGUAAAUUAGGGGCAAAUAAGCAGACAGUGAGGGAGGAAGGGAGGGAGGGAAGAGAUGGGGAGGAUUAAGGGUUAUAGGUUUAAUAGAAAUGUUCUGAUUUUAGAACUUAAAUGCUAUUAUUUUGCUCUCUCUCCCUGUCCAUGACUCUUCAAAUUACAUCCCAGGAGCUACAUGUAUUUCUUUGUCCAGCAUUCAGAAAGUAAUAGACUGUCUCAAGUGUGUACUGAUCUGAUAUCCCAAGAGGUCACAGAUCUUGUCCACUCUGGUCAAAGGUCAAAGAAGAAUUGUAUCCUUAUGGGAGAGUCUCAAUAACUUAGUAUUUCUUGUGGAAAAUGUUUUACGUUUUUUAGCACAGAAUUCAGAGAUUUCAAAAAUCCCUUAUAAGAUAGAGCCAAUUGUCAAAGUACCAUCUUCCUCAGCAUCUUUUGAAUUCAGAGUAUGGCUUUUACAUUCAUCUUUGAGAAACUUCUGUUAUUUUCCUUAACUCCUCUUGUGUGUUUAAUUUUUGCAACACAUGAUUGAAAUUAUAGAAGCAAAGCACUUCUAUUAUUUGUCUGAGAAUCAUUUAUAUAUAAGGUGUCAUUUAGUAUUUAUUUUGAUAUUUGGAAGACUAUUUUCCAAAUAUUCAAAUUGUCCAGAUAGAUGGAAGACAGCUAUCUCCAUGGACAUAUAUCUUUGUGCUAUGCAGACCUGAGUUUAGAUUCCUAGAAUUCAAACAAGGUCUGGUCUGUGGCAGCACACAUGUGUUUCUUCAGUGCUGGGUAGGGGUUGGGGGUGGGCACAUCUCUGUAGCCAACUGGUUAGCUAGUUUAACUGAACUUCUAAUCUUUAGGUUCAAUGAGAUAUCCUGUUUCAAAAAACAAGAAGGUUGAAAACAACAGAGGAUGAUACAGAUCAUUGACUUCUGAUCUCCCCACUUCAGAAUGUACACCAGCAUAUACAUGUACACAGACAUGAGCUCUCACACACCCACACACAUGUACACAGGCACACACAUGAAAACUGUUUCCACUGUUUCUUUGUAGCACUUCAAAGAGAACCUAAACAUAUCAUGACAAAUCCUAACUUUUUAGUAAUAGUUCUGGAAUAUUUUUUUUCAAUGAAAAAGUAAUGAGUCCUUUUUUAUUGCAGUUGCUUAACGUGCUAACCCCAUAAGCUCAGGCCUUUCAUCCAUCCAUCACAGCAGACGGCUGGGGAAAGACCCUGAGAAACCAUGGGACCGAGAUCUUAUAGGGUAGCAUAAGGGGAGUGUCUAGAGGUCUGCAGACUACCCUCCUGUACUGAUUAGUUGAACAGACUGCAGCUGUGGAGCCUCCAGGUCUGUGGCCUAGCAAACACAACAGAAGGACUAAGAAUGUGACAUGAGACUAUGUAGAAGGACAGAGACCAACGCCUAGUGAAAAUCAAUUCCAUUGAAGGAGAUCUCCUAGCACUGGUUACUAGAGCAUCAGCAAUGACAGACAAUAUCCCAGAGGUCAUGAAGGUUCGUGGUGCUUUUCCUUGUGAUGGGGGUAGAUAAUACAUGCAUUGGUAAGAACAUAGAAGGC